rnacentral:rRNA from 1 species
UGGCUAACUCCUACGGGAGGCAGCAGUGGGGAAUUUUGGACAAUGGGCGCAAGCCUGAUCCAGCAAUGCCGCGUGCAGGAUGAAGGCCUUCGGGUUGUAAACUGCUUUUGUACGGAACGAAAAGUCUUGGGUUAAUACCCUGGGAUCAUGACGGUACCGUAAGAAUAAGCACCGGCUAACUACGUGCCAGCAGCCGCGGUAAUACGUAGGGUGCAAGCGUUAAUCGGAAUUACUGGGCGUAAAGCGUGCGCAGGCGGUUUUGUAAGACAGUGGUGAAAUCCCCGGGCUCAACCUGGGAACUGCCAUUGUGACUGCAAGGCUGGAGUGCGGCAGAGGGGGAUGGAAUUCCGCGUGUAGCAGUGAAAUGCGUAGAUAUGCGGAGGAACACCGAUGGCGAAGGCAAUCCCCUGGGCCUGCACUGACGCUCAUGCACGAAAGCGUGGGGAGCAAACAGGAUUAGAUACCCCAGUAGUCCAGCUGG